AACUCACAAAAACUCACCUUUUUGUGAGACCCACAUGCUAACCACUGUACAGUGCACACGGUUAGGUUACCCGCGGAUUGAACAAAAUUGUUUAGGCCAAGCACUUUCCUCUUUCACUAUGCAGAGCAAACUCAUUUCCCCUUUCACUUUCCCCUCUCAAACACCUCAAACCCAUUCACACCAUUGCUCUCAAACCUCGUUUCCGCUGACCACUGUUAACCUGAGUGAUAGCAUCGUCGCCCAACUACGCCGCCGCUAUGGGACCCACGUCUGUCACCUCCAUUCGUUGUCCCUGACAACGAACCCAUGUGAGGUGGAACCCAGCGAAAUUACCAUGCUACACCUCGGUGGAACCCAGUGAACCGACCUUCUGAAGGCUGAUCGGCAGUGGUUACAACUCCACGUCUGCUCAGCAUAUGUGCGAAAUGGACCAUUGUGUGCUUAGGACGUCUUUAUCCCUCCAUAAUUUCGGAAGGAGGAUGGAUGUCAACACUGGUCGCCAGUCUGUAUCAAAAUUAUUUGCUCGUCCAUGUUGUUUGUAUGUGAACUUCUUAAUCUAUCUAAUUUCUCUGUCAACUAUAUGGUAUGAAUUUUGUUGCAGGACUCUGAUCAGGCUUGUAAGUGUUAGGAUUAGUGUCUUUUAAAUCCUAUUGUUUGAUGCUAUAUGUAAUAUUAAGUAUGACAUUAUGUAUGAUUUAAUAUUAUGAUUAAUAAAUUUGUUUUAUUAUUAUCUAAAAUAAUGGUAACAUGAAUAUUCAGACAUUAUCAUAUAGUCCAUGAGAUGCAUAGUAUGUGAUUUAGUUACAGAAGAUAUAAGUCAUAAGUUCUUUGUAAACUCAGAAUUUUAAUUCAUAGUAGGUGAUGAAAUUGGGCAUUUCAUCUGCGAAGACUAUAACAUAUCAACUACGAUGAUUUGUCUUGAUCAUGGAAUUGGAGACUUCUAGUUAAUAUGUUGAUAUGUUUUAAGAGUUAAGACAUAUUGAACUAGACCACUGUAAGAUUUAUUAUUCUUGUAACGAUUGUCAAUUGAAUAAUAAAUCUCAUGACUUAUAUUAACAUGAACUCUUAAUCCUGAGAGAAUAAUGGAUCUGAUCAUGAAAUGUAGGUUGCUUUGAUAUAUCAGAAGUGAGAUCUAAAGUAACGGUCAAAACCUCAGUAUGUUGGGCAGCCACAUAUAGUGUUGAUAGAACAUAUAUUCUCAAGAUGAAAUUCAUAGUCUCUUAACGGAGAUAUAAAAUAUUCUCUUGAGAUAAGUUUAAUGGGUUUAGUUAUUCAGAGAGUUAGGUCUAACCACUUUAGUAAGAAAUUACUAAAGUAUAUAUUUAUGAAAUUGGAUUUCAUAAAUAUAUGGUGAAUAACUUAAAAAGAUUAAACCGGGUACUCAAGGAUUAAAAUGUAGUAAUCUACAAAGUGGUAGUCUACAUUUAUGACUUUGUAUUACUACGAAUAUUUUAUGAAGGGGUUGCAUGUACAAUAAAGUCUUGUGAUAUAAUUUAUAAAUAAGGCCUAGAGUGCAACUAUAUUUAUAUAGUGGUAUUAAAUAUAGUUAAUGGUAACUUUGGACUUGUCAAGAGUUGACAGAAAAGUCCAAGGCCCAUUGAAGCUAGUGUCUUAUUAGUCCCUUUUGGUCUCACUUCAAGCCACAUACUAGAGCCCAAUCGAAAAGUCCCAAAAAGCUAGCCUAAUUAGAUAAUCAGUUAUAAGGAGAGAAACAUACAAAAUUUUGUAACUAACAACUUGCAUGAAAUGGUGUAUGUGAGUGAGUGUUGGACACUCUCUAAUUCUCUCUUGAACAAAUUCACAUUACUGAUUGAGAGACCACACAUCUUGGGCAUUAGUAGAAUUGGAGUGAAGAUUAAAAGUAUUCUCAAGUGCUUACAAUCUUUGUUUUGAAAUUCAUUACACCAAGGUACACUCUUUUGUUCUUGUAUUCUGAAAUUUACAUAGUGCAUGUUAUCAAUUGCGAAUAAAGUAGAUCUGUUAAUUUUCUGCUGCGUACAUGCAUAUUUCCAUCAGUAAGUUCUUUAGGUGGUUGGACAAGGACACAUGACCUCGAGGAUGUGCAACAGCUCCAAAUGUGUGGAAAAGGUGGUCAAGAUUGGCAGCCGAGGCAGAAGCUACCAAAAAUGAGAGGGACAAUGCACAACGAAUGGAAACAGAAGCAUUAGAAAGGGAACGCUUAGCCAAGCGCAGAGCUCUGAAGUAAAAAGUCGCAGUUCGAAGUGAUGAGGAGAAAGUGCACAAGUUUAGGAUUGCUUUGAUUACUACUUGGGUUAUGAUUGGGUUGUAUAUUUAUAUCAACAAACAUAUGUAAGCCUUAUUAUUUGUUGCUGGACAUGUUUUCUGUUGAUGCAACUUGCAAUGCUUCGUUUUGUUGUUGUGUUUGUUGGUACAUAUUCAGGUGUUUUGUAAGGACAGAACUUUUGCUCA